GCGCCUGUAGCUCAGUGGAUUAGAGCACUUGCCUACGAAGCAAGGGGUCGCAGGUUCGAAUCCUGCCAGGCGCA
rnacentral:tRNA from 1 species